rnacentral:lncRNA from 1 species
UAGCGUCUAGGCUCUCAGCAGGGACACUGGUAAUCAAGCUUGUGUUCCCAGUCAGAAAUCCAAAGAAACUCUUUUUCAUCAGGGUGUUCAACCUGGGAAGCAAGGAGUGGGUGCAGGAUCCCUCUGUUUCUGUUUGAGCAGUGGCACUCCCUCUGGCCUCUGGAAUGGUAAAUCUGCACCAUUGCUAGCUUGGCUGUUUGCGUUUGGGGGCUGACUAGAAUCCACUGUCAUACACUACUUGUUCAGUUCAAUAUUUCUUGUGCUUUAAACAACAUUUAAACCUAGAUGGUAGGGAUAAGAUGAUUCCUGCACUUAAAGAGCCUGUGAUGUUUAGGAAACAAGGGAAUGCAAGGCUCACCAUGGAGGGUAGAAGAAUGUUACAGAUAAGGUUGUUUGGUGUUGUAACAAACACACAAGAUGGAAAAUCUAUGUUGCUGCUAUUAGCUACUAUUGAUUGAACACCUUCUUAGUUUCUAUGUAUAUAUAGAUAUAUAUAUAGAGAGAGAGAGAGACAGGGUCUCGCUAUGUUGCCUAGACUGGUCUCAAACUCCUGACCUCAAGCAGACUUCCCACCUCAGCAUCCCAAAGUGUUGGGAUUACAGGUGAGCCACCAC